UGGCAGCCUGGCGCCCACGUCCGGGCGCCUUGGUGCAGAUGCUGCCGGCAUUUUCGGUAUCAGUUUUCCCAGGAGCCCAACAGUUCUGAAAGCUUAAUAUAUAUGUGGGGUUACUCAUGAAGCGGCCGCUGGAAGAUGGCCUGAACUGGGAUUCUGUUCUCCGCAGCCUAAGAAGCGCUGGGGAGACUCUACAUUUUGAUGCCGACUGCAUGAUUGCUGACCACCUGUCUUAUCAAAACCUUGUCUUGGGCCUCCCUGGUGGCGCAAGGGGUUAAGCACCACACUAUGAAGCAAUCCGCAGCCUCUGCAGCAAUGAGUUCCAUUCCCGGCUGGCCAGGGAGCAACCUACAUGGUGCAGCAGACCUCUCCUGUCUCUCCCGCUGCUCCCCUCAGCAGUGUACUUUGGUCAAUCUGCCUGUUUUGUUCCUCACUCUGUUUCUGGUGAAUCCUCUCACCCCCAACAUCUCUGGCCUGUACCCCAGCUCUUGU